rnacentral:SRP_RNA from 1 species
CCGUGCUAGACGGGGAGGUAGCGGUGCCUUGUAACUCGCAAUCCGCUAUAGCGAGGUGGAAUUCCUGUACUGAGGAUUAGCCUUGUAAGGUCUGGCUCUGGCAAGUGGUGAUGAAAAUUGGGUCCCGCGCAACGGAAAUUUGUGAACCCCGUCAGGACCGGAAGGGAGCAGCGGUAAGCAAAACCUUUCGUGUGCCGUGGGGAAACUUGAUUUGAGCAAACUAUCAGAGUAACGCUUGGAAGGUUUCAUUCGAAGACAGGUGCACGG